rnacentral:rRNA from 1 species
AUUACCUCAGUAACGGCGAGUGAAGCGGUAACAGCUCAAAUUUGAAAUCUGGCUCUUUCAGGGUCCGAGUUGUAAUUUGUAGAAGAUGCUUUGGGUGUGGCCCGGGUCUAAGUUCCUUGGAACAGGACGUCAUAGAGGGUGAGAAUCCCGUAUGUGACCCGGCGCUUUCGCCCGUGUAAAGCUCUUUCGACGAGUCGAGUUGUUUGGGAAUGCAGCUCAAAAUGGGUGGUAAAUUUCAUCUAAAGCUAAAUAUUGGCCAGAGACCGAUAGCGCACAAGUAGAGUGAUCGAAAGAUGAAAAGCACUUUGGAAAGAGAGUUAAACAGUACGUGAAAUUGUUGAAAGGGAAGCGCUUGCAACCAGACUUAGGCGCGGCCGAUCAUCCAGGGUUCUCCCUGGUGCACUCGGUCGUCUCUAGGCCAGCAUCGGUUUGGGUGGUGGGAUAAAGGCCUUGGGAAUGUAGCUUCUUUCGGGGAGUGUUAUAGCCCUCGGUGCAAUGCCGCCUACCUGGACCGAGGACCGCGCUUCGGCUAGGAUG